ACUUAAUCUCCUUUGAUGAGGCCAAACAUUCACCAAACAUCGAAGGCAAACAUGUAAGAGUCAUCUUUAACUUCUUGCCCUCAGCUCUAAUCAUCAAAGCCUGACAAUGUUACCAAGUUACCCCCCUCUCCCUUGUCUGCCUUCUAACUUUACCACCAUGACUUCAGUCUUAGCCUUCAACAUCCCUUCCCCUAGGGAAAAUACAAUAACUAUCCCAGAAAAUGCUCUACAGUACCAAGAGUAACUUUUAUAAAACAUAAAUCUGACCGUGGCAUUCAUCAGAUUAAGCCCUUCAAUGACUCCUGGUUGCAUCAGAGACCACCCUACCCCAUCAUAAUUAUUUGUUAUGUGUCUGAACUCUAUUUGGUUUGGAGCUGCUUGAGAUCAGAGGCUGUGCUGUGCUGGCUGUUUCAUCUCCAGCUCCCAGCAGAGCGACCGCCCGCACAUCUGCCGAACUGAAGUGGACUGAAUGGUGCUGUCUCCUCUGCUUCCACUCAAAUCAGUUUUUUUGCAAGGUUCAAGUGUCAGGGUCAAUACUUCUCCUCCUGUUAAAAAAUCAGACCUAAAAUAACUAACUCUAUCCAAAAAGAUGUAGUCCUGAAGUAUGAGAAGAUCAUAUGGCAGAGUUCCACACAGAGUAUUCAGUUGAGUGAAUGUGUUAAUGAAAGAAAUGAAUGAAGAUACGGUCCAGGGAAUGGAGCCCCCAACACAACGCAGCAAGGAAGAUUACAGUGGCAAGUGCACAGGAUCUGGACGCCCAAGACCUUGUUCCAAAUCCCAGCUCUGCCAUUCAUGUUCCAUGAGGUCUUGGAAAAAACCUCUGGCCUCCUAUCUGUCAAAUAAAGAGCAACAGCACUAAACCCAAGGCUGAUAGGAAGACAGGUUCCAGCAUCCGGGCCCGGGGACAGGGUCACAAUUACUUUAAAGCAAUUUAAGUGGCCCUGCAAGAAACUUUCUACCAUGGGCAGAAGGCAAGUCCAGAAGCCGUAAUGGCUGAGGGGGCCUGACUAACAGUGGCUCUCGGGUACCCAUGUCCACAGACCCCCUCUGCUGGCACAGAUAAAGCUCUUCCUACAUCUCUGCUGAGGCAGGUGCCAGAGAAAUAAGCAACCUGACCCCCUGAAGAGUCUUUGGAGCCUGGCAGUAACCUGAGCUGCUCUGGGUUAUUUUUGCUGAGAGCUAGUGGUUCUUAAAGGGACUGUGUUCUAAGUGCAUACGUCCAGACACAGAAUGCCAACCAGUGAAAAGACCAAUGUGACGAACCUAUCUUAAUCAAACAUUGUUGAUCGAAAGGCUGUAACAAAUCAGUGAGAAGACAUGUGAGCAAUAUUUUAAAGGGAUCAAUCGUAAUAUGCUGUGAUACAACAUCAUUGGUUUAAAAAAAUGGUAAUGCUGAAUAACCCAAAACCGCAUUGGUUCCAAUUGUAACAAGAAAGCAGGCAUUCCCCAAGGCUCUGUCCUCAGUGCUGGACUGCCACUCAAGUCUGGGAACAGAGACUGGAGAGGGAGAUGGUUGCCGACACUGUGCCUUGACAGUUACCACCCUGUUUCGAUGCUCGCUAUGCCCUUGCAAGUAUAAUAAUCGGAGGAAAAAGAAAGUGGAGCUCGGCGAGCCUUCAUCACUCACUCAGAAGUUACAUAAUGGCUGAUUGCGGGCCCCUUCCACCUUCUACCUGAAAGGCGAAGAUUCCGAAAGCGAACACCCCAUUCAAAAACAAUUCUCGAGAAACAACUAGUCCUUUCAUUCCUUGCCCCACAUCCCCAAACUGGCCCAGGAAGAACAAGAAUAAUCCAGUAACUAGGAAAGUGGGAUCUGGAGUCACAAGCACUCAGAUUUGUAAACCUAGUCCACCGCAAAUUCGCCGGGUGAUCUUGGUCAAGUCAGUUACAGUUCCCGAGCCUCAGUGGCAGUAACAGCAACACCGACAUCAUCAGACUGUUUGGGAGAUUAAAUAAGAUCAUCGUGUGUGUAUUGUACGUGGAAGGGUGCCUACACAUGGAACCCUUCAGGUAAACAGUUGCUAUUAUUAGUUGUAUUAGUAUUCCUAUUCGGCAAGUGUGUAAUUCAAGUUGCCUUGAUAUUUGGCAAUGUCUAAUCAUAAGAAAAAGAAUGUAUCAGCUGGUUGUUGGGCAGGUACUUUACAGACAUGAUCUCCAGUGCUCACAAAGUUUGCCAGGCAAGUAAUUCUACUCCCCUUUGCACAUGAGGGACAUGAGGCUCACAGAGGUAGCGUAACUUGCCCGAGUUACAACGAGUAAGUGACAGAGCAGGGAUUUUAACUCGGUUCUGACUUCAAAGCCUGUAUUCCUUUCACUCAGUUGAGAAAUAGUCAGGGAACAGCAUGGAGAGUAGAGGGAAGAACUCUCAGGAAUAAGAACCUGUUCCUCAGAUCAGUCACAUAACCUCUCAACCAGUUUCCCCUUCCUGAUAUGAAUGUUUUUGUUGUUUGGUCUUAUCACUGCAGCAAGGGACCCAUCCAGCGUCGAUCUACAGGUAAUUCUACAGAGAAUAAUAAAGUUUUCUGUAAACCUAUUAAAACUAUAUUAAGUGUUCAUUUCUGAGCCACAAAUCUUUAUAAAUUCGUAAGCUCCAUAUAAUAUAAAUCAUGGAAAAAACACACAAAUGCUUAACAUUUUACAGUUCACGAAGCAUUUUCACAAACAUUAGCUCAUGUAAUCAACUUACUCGGCAAGGUGGCUAUGUGCCUGGUUCUCAAGUAAAGAAACUGAGGCACAGGUUAAACUAAUUGCCUACA